CAACAACUACGCUCUGUCAACUAAACCACACAAGCCCCAGGCAUGUAUGGGGGAGAUCGCGAACGUCAGGUCUUCCCAGUAUGAAAAUGUAAUAUUUUUCCAUCGACAGCCAUCAGUAUCAUUAAGCCCUGCACAACUACCGUGCUGUUUCCCAUUUAACAACAGAAAUAAAUGAUGCUCAACUGGGACCACUGGCUGAUGUGAUUUAUUUGUAGAAAACACAAUGCAAGGAGAGUACGAUAUACAUAUGUUACACUGGUGCCGUGACUCUUCGAGACCCGGCUUCAAGAAGUACUGCGGUUGCUGAUGCACGGCAGAGGCCUAGGUUUCGAUUUCUGCACAAGUGGAAUUCUCAGGGAGCUCCUGGUAGCAUGAAUAGGGGGAGAUCGCGAACGUCAGGUCUUCCCAGUAUGAAAAUGUGAUGUAAGGGAAAUAAAUGAUGCUCAACUGGGACCACUGGCUGAUGGGAUUUAUUAGGAGAAAACACAACGCAAGGAGAGUACGAUAUACAUCUGUUACAUAAGAACAACCUGUAACCAUGCAGUAGGCCUACCUCAGCUUUAAUAUUACUGAUGUACUAUCAUAGUGUCCAAGCUAUCAGCCAUUGGUUGGCUCAGGUGCAGGUUAGCAGUGCUGUUAAUAUUAUCCCCAAGACAUAUACAGUAGCAGCAUAAACUGUCCUUUUCCACAUUUACUCCAUCAAAGACUUGGCCUCUAUUGGUUGACUUCGCAGUAGUUAGGCUACUCAUG
rnacentral:lncRNA from 1 species